rnacentral:rRNA from 1 species
UACGUAGGGGGCAAGCGUUGUCCGGAAUUAUUGGGCGUAAAGAGCGCGUAGGCGGUCCGAUAAGUCGGCUGUGAAAGUCCGGGGCUCAACCCUUGAAAGCCGGCCGAUACUGUCGGACUAGAGUCCGGAAGAGGCAAGUGGAAUUCCCGGUGUAGCGGUGAAAUGCGCAGAUAUCGGGAGGAACACCAAUGGCGAAGGCAGCUUGCUGGGACGGUACUGACGCUGAGGCGCGAAAGCGUGGGGAGCAAACAGG